AGCUUGCUCUGUGGAUCAGUGGCGAACGGGUGAGUAACACGUGAGCAACCUGCCCCGGACUCUGGGAUAAGCGCUGGAAACGGCGUCUAAUACCGGAUACGAGACAAGACGGCAUCGUCAUUGUCUGGAAAGAUUUUUUGGUCUGGGAUGGGCUCGCGGCCUAUCAGCUUGUUGGUGAGGUAAUGGCUCACCAAGGCGUCGACGGGUAGCCGGCCUGAGAGGGUGACCGGCCACACUGGGACUGAGACACGGCCCAGACUCCUACGGGAGGCAGCAGUGGGGAAUAUUGCACAAUGGGCGAAAGCCUGAUGCAGCAACGCCGCGUGAGGGAUGACGGCCUUCGGGUUGUAAACCUCUUUUAGCAGGGAAGAAGCGAAAGUGACGGUACCUGCAGAAAAAGCGCCGGCUAACUACGUGCCAGCAGCCGCGGUAAUACGUAGGGCGCAAGCGUUAUCCGGAAUUAUUGGGCGUAAAGAGCUCGUAGGCGGUUUGUCGCGUCUGCUGUGAAAUCCCGAGGCUCAACCUCGGGCCUGCAGUGGGUACGGGCAGACUAGAGUGCGGUAGGGGAGAUUGGAAUUCCUGGUGUAGCGGUGGAAUGCGCAGAUAUCAGGAGGAACACCGAUGGCGAAGGCAGAUCUCUGGGCCGUAACUGACGCUGAGGAGCGAAAGGGUGGGGAGCAAACAGGCUUAGAUACCCUGGUAGUCCACCCCGUAAACGUUGGGAACUAGUUGUGGGGUCCAUUCCACGGAUUCCGUGACGCAGCUAACGCAUUAAGUUCCCCGCCUGGGGAGUACGGCCGCAAGGCUAAAACUCAAAGGAAUUGACGGGGACCCGCACAAGCGGCGGAGCAUGCGGAUUAAUUCGAUGCAACGCGAAGAACCUUACCAAGGCUUGACAUAUACGAGAACACUUCAGAAAUGAAGGACUCUUUGGACACUCGUAUACAGGUGGUGCAUGGUUGUCGUCAGCUCGUGUCGUGAGAUGUUGGGGUUAAGUCCCGCAACGAGCGCAACCCUCGUUCUAUGUUGCCAGCACGUAAU
rnacentral:rRNA from 1 species